rnacentral:rRNA from 1 species
CCUACGGGGGGCAGCAGUGAGGAAUAUUGGUCAAUGGACGAGAGUCUGAACCAGCCAAGUAGCGUGAAGGAUGACUGCCCUAUGGGUUGUAAACUUCUUUUAUAUGGGAAUAAAACGUUCCACGUGUGGGAUUUUGUAUGUACCAUAUGAAUAAGGAUCGGCUAACUCCGUGCCAGCAGCCGCGGUAAUACGGAGGAUCCGAGCGUUAUCCGGAUUUAUUGGGUUUAAAGGGAGCGUAGGUGGAUUGUUAAGUCAGUUGUGAAAGUUUGCGGCUCAACCGUAAAAUUGCAGUUGAAACUGGCAGUCUUGAGUACAGGAGAGGUGGGCGGAAUUCGUGGUGUAGCGGUGAAAUGCGUAGAUAUCACGAAGAACUCCGAUUGCGAAGGCAGUUCACUGGACUGCAACUGACACUGAGGCUCGAAAGUGUGGGUAUCAAACAGGAUUAGAUACCCGGGUAGUC